UUCUACAGCCACACCACCCUGAGAGCACCCAAUUUCUUCUGAUCUUGGAAGCUAAGCAGGGUCAGGCCUGGUAAGCACUUGGAUGGGAAAUUAUUCUCUUUGUUUUAGAGAUUCAGACAUAGGAU
ensembl:rRNA 5S_rRNA 5S ribosomal RNA